AAAGGUAAGCUACUAAGAGCGAAUGGUGGAUGCCUUGACUGGUAAAGGCGAUGAAGGACGUACUAGACUGCGAUAAGCUACGGGGAGCUGUCAAGAAGCUUUGAUCCGUAGAUUUCCGAAUGGGGCAACCCAAUGUAUAGAGAUAUACAUUACCUAUAUAGGAGCGAACGAGGGGAAUUGAAACAUCUUAGUACCCUCAGGAAAAGAAAUCAAUAGAGAUUGCGUCAGUAGCGGCGAGCGAAAGCGCAAGAGGGCAAACCCAGUGCUUGCACUGGGGGUUGUAGGACUGCAAUGUGCAAGAGGUGAGUUUAGCAGAACAUUCUGGAAAGUAUAGCCAUAGAGGGUGAUAGUCCCGUAUGCGAAAAACAAACCUUAGCUAGCAGUAUCCUGAGUAGGGCGGGACACGAGAAAUCCUGUCUGAAGC
rnacentral:rRNA from 2 species